UACGUAGGUGGCAAGCGUUGUCCGGAAUUAUUGGGCGUAAAGCGCGCGCAGGUGGUUCUUUAAGUCUGAUGUGAAAGCCCACGGCUUAACCGUGGAGGGUCAUUGGAAACUGGGGAACUUGAGUGCAGAAGAGGAAAGUGGAAUUCCACGUGUAGCGGUGAAAUGCGUAGAGAUGUGGAGGAACACCAGUGGCGAAGGCGACUUUCUGGUCUGUAACUGACACUGAGGCGCGAAAGCGUGGGGAGCGAAC
rnacentral:rRNA from 1 species